UACGAUCGUUUAAGUAAGUACAUGUUUCAUUUUUGUGUAACGCAAGAUUAUGUUCAUGUAUAUAAGUUGUUUAAAUUACUUCGUUUGUCUGAACAAGUAUGCUGCUAAUCCCCUAGCUAAAGUGGCUAGCAAGUGUUAGCGAACACAUGCUGUUUUGCCUUUGUUACAGUACACACGGAGAUAACUUGCCCAGAGCACAGCAUCUCGUGUACAGCAUGAAGUUUUCAGCUAUCAAGAUUUCUAGAGACUCCAGAAUGAAAACCAAGCCCUGCACUGCAAAAAAAUGAAUGUCUUUCUUAGUUUUCUUUUGUCUUGUUUUCUAAUAUUAAUAUCUGAAAAUUCUUAAAUUGAGAUACACUGAC